AUAAUCUAGUGGACGGGACGCUUCUUCAACAACAACAGCUAGUCAGACACCUCGGUAGCUUUCUAGCAAACACAGCUACAACAUUCACCCGCUUUACACUGUUUUGGUGUAUAUUAGUCGCUGUGUAUUAAACACACUUCUGUCGUAUGUACUUGUUAGCCCAUUUAAUUAUAUGUUUACGUUGUUUGUCAGCUAGCUGGUUUGCUAAGUUAGCUUAGAACUAAGCUAGUCGCUAAUGCUAGCUAGCUAACAUCUCCGACCAUGAGUUCACUAAGCUACUCUCCUCCUACUAAAGAAGAGGUCUGCUGGAUGGAGAAAGAAGCUCUCGUUAAAGAGGAAGAGAAAGAUGUUACAAUACAAAAACAAGUAGAGGGUGAGGCUGUUACCGUGAAAGAAGAAGAGAAAGACGUUACAGUGAAAGAAGAGGAAGACGCGUUCAGAGUGAAAGAGGAGGAGGAUGUUACAAUAAAAGAAGAUGAGGAAGAGAAAGAGGAGAGAGCAGUUUUUGGAGUGAAAGAGGAGGCGGGGGAGAUGACUGUCACAUUGAAAGAGGAGAAGGAGGAAGAAGAGGAGGUUGGAGAUCUGUUUAACACCAGUAGCUAGCUACCAGCCAUGGAGGAGGGUGAAAGGAUAGCAGCCCCAACUGUCAGUGAGAGAGGAGGCUAUUCUGGAUAGGGAAGGUACUUUUGUGUAGUUCCUGUCCCUAGAAGUGAGGACGGAGAUAAUAGUAACAUAAUAUUCAGUGUGGUGUAAUUUGACUAUAAUGAAGUGUGUUUCUUGUGAGGUUUUCUGUCCUCGGAUAAAGAGCGCUAUGAAAGCCAGUCUACAUAUGAAGAGGUCCCAAUGAAGAGCAGUGGUUCUCAGUCCUGGGGACUCAGAGGCACAUUGUUGUUUUUGCCUCAGCACUGCACAGCUGAUUCAAAUGAUCAACUCAUCAUCAAGCUUCAAGUGAUACCUUGUAACUGGAGAUUCCUUCAAAACGAUUGCCUACAGUUACCGUUUAGGGCACUGCAAGGUUAGGUGACCAGGGUCAUCUGGGACUGCCUCCUGGAGGAAUUCAGAUGUGUGAAGGCUACCUGUGUCCUGCGUAACUUCAUGAGGAUGGACACGAGGACCAGGAGGGGAUCUGCAGCUCGCCGCCGUGUCCCAGAGGAGGAGUCUGCUGCUCUGCAGGAUGUUUCAAGGAUGGGGUCCAACAACGCAGCAAGAGAGGCAAUCCGUGUGCAGGAGAUCUUCACCUCCUACUUCUUCAAAGAGGGUGCUGUUCCCUGGCAACACCAUAGACUACACUAUGCUCAACCAAAGGCUCUUUUAAGAGCCAUCCAAUAUUGAAAAAAUGUAGAACAAUUAGACACCCUAUAACCCACACACUCAUGUAUCAAUCUGAUUGAUGGAUUGUGUUGUGCAGUAAGCAGGCUCAGGUGUAUAACUGUGGCUCCUUCCACCUUCAAAGAAUAGGCAAGAGGGCCAACCAUGGAGAAUAGUAAGACACUUCAUUAUUUCUAUAACUACGCUAUAUUGUUUGUCCUUGUGGGUCCGUUCAUGUUUUUCAGCAUAAAGUACUCUGCAGCCACUUAGUGUGGUGUGGACACCAGUCCUCUAGGUUAUAUCAGCUGUGUCGGUGAACCCCUCCUGCAUCUGAACUGGCUACAUAGAGGGCACAGCAUGAUCAGAGAUAUGUUUUGAUGUGAGAGGAUGCCAACCCCCAGUCCCAUCAUCACCAGCUCACCCUCUUUUAAGAUAACCUUUGGGCCAUCUAGAGACACUAUUAUGUAAUUGUGAUGAACUGAGAGAAUAUUUAGGUAGCACUGUGUUUCAUUAAUCAUGUGCUGCCUUCCCUGCUCCUCUUUCCCUUUCUGUCUUUUACACCUCUCUCAUCUCCUCUUUCUUCCUCUGUUUUUAUAAUGCACAACAGAUGUGCAUUGAAGUACAGAUUGAACUUGUAUUUAUAACACUUGGAUAAUGAGCUUUUCAAUAAAGCGUUUCACAUUC